AGUGAACGCUGGCGGUAGGCCUAACACAUGCAAGUCGAACGGCAGCACAGUAAGAGCUUGCUCUUACGGGUGGCGAGUGGCGGACGGGUGAGGAAUACAUCGGAAUCUACUUUUUCGUGGGGGAUAACGUAGGGAAACUUACGCUAAUACCGCAUACGACCUACGGGUGAAAUCAGGGGAUCUUCGGACCUUGCGCGAUUGAAUGAGCCGAUGUCGGAUUAGCUAGUUGGCGGGGUAAAGGCCCACCAAGGCGACGAUCCGUAGCUGGUCUGAGAGGAUGAUCAGCCACACUGGAACUGAGACACGGUCCAGACUCCUACGGGAGGCAGCAGUGGGGAAUAUUCGACAAUGGGCGAAAGCCUGAUCCAGCCAUGCCGCGUGGGUGAAGAAGGCCUUCGGGUUGUAAAGCCCUUUUGUUGGGAAAGAAAAGCAGCAGGUUAAUCCCCCGCUGUUCUGACGGUACCCAAAGAAUAAGCACCGGCUAACUUCGUG
rnacentral:rRNA from 1 species